rnacentral:lncRNA from 1 species
UAGAGGCGGGUGAAUGUGCUGAAAUCUUACUUCAAAGUCUACCAGAUUCGUAUGAUCAACUCAUCAUCAACUUGACCAACAAUCUUGAAACUCUAGUCUUCGAUGAUGUUGCAGCUGCUAUUCUUGAAGAGGAAAGUAGGCGCAAGAACAAGGAGGACAGAUUGACAAGUUCGCAUUAGGCAGAAGCUUUAACGAUGACGAGAGGGAGAUCAACGGAACGUGGCUCUAGUGGGAGUCAUAAUCAGAGUAGAUCAAAAUUCAGGAGUAAGAAAAAUGUCAAUUGUCAUUGCUGUGGCAAUAAAGGGCACUUAAAAAGGGAUUGUUGGAGUCUCAAGAAGAAUGAAGAAGUCAAAGGAAAAGGUCCUGAGACGUCAAAAGCUCAGGGUUGUGUAGCAAGCUCCUCGGAUGAUGGUGAAAUUUUAUACAGUGAGGCAACAACAGUUGUUGAAGGCAGAAAGAAAUUUUUUGAUGUCUAGCUUAUGGAUUCAGGAGUUACAUGAUACAUGACACGAAUAAGGAAAUGAUUUCAUCAAUAUGAGACUAUCCCAGGAGGAUCUGUGUUUAUGGGAAAUGUCCAUGCCUUGGAGAUCGCUGGUACUGGUACCAUCAAAUUGAAAAUGUAUGAUGGUACAAUUCGCACUAUCCAGGAAAUACGGCACGUAAAAAGCUUGAAGAAAAAUCUAUUGUCUUUAGGACAAUUAGAUAGCAUUGGCUGCAAAACCCAUAACAAGAUGGGAUUAUGAAAAUAAUCAAAGGCGUGCUUGUGGUGAUAAAAGCGGAAAAGAUAGCUGCAAAUUUGUGUAUGCUUAAAGGAGAAAAAUUACAAGAAGGGGAAGCAUCUGUCACACGGACAGGUUCAGCAGAAGAAUUAACGAUGAUGUGGCAUCGCAAGCUUGGUCACAUGUCGAAACGUGGUUUGAAAAUUCUCUCAGAACAAAAGAUUCUUCCAGGGUUCAAAAAGGUUUCAUUACCCUUUUGUGAGCAUUGUAUUAAUAGUAAGCAGCACAGAUUGAAGUUCAGCAGUUCCACUGUUAGAAGUAAAGCUAUCUUGGAGUUGUUUCAUUCUGAUAUUUGGCAAGCACUGGUUCUAUCCCUAGGAGGUGCAAGAUACUUUGUAUCUUUUAUUGGUGAUUACUCUAGGAGACGUUGGGUGUAUCCAAUCAAAAGGAAGGCAGACGUGUUCACAAUCUUCAAAAUAUUCGAAGCACGUGUGAAGCUUGAAUCUGAAAAAAAAGAUCAAAUGUCUGAGAACUGACAAUGGAGGAAGUCUCGUGUACGUUAUGUACAACACCUAAGAAACAUCAAAACUGGAUCCAAAAUUCAGAAAAUGUAUUUUCUUAGGGUAUGCUGAUGGAGUGAAGGGGUACUACCUGUGGGUUCCCACCGGCCACAAGGUGAUAAUCAGCAGAGAUGUACAUCUGGAGCAGUUAGAUGUGAAAACUGCAUUUCUUCGUGGAGAACUUGAAGAAGAAAUUGUUAUGCUCCAACUAGGAGGUUUUAAAGAAAAAAGAAAAUAGAACUUGGUUUGCAGGUUGAACAAAUCUCUAUAUGAUCUCAAACAGGCGCCGAAAUGUUGGUACAGGCGCCGAAAUGUUGGUAGAAGAGAUUUGAUUCCUUCAUCGUGAGCGUUGGAUACAACAGACUCCGUUCAGAUCCAUGUACAUACUACAUGAGAUUUGGUGAUAAUGAUUUCAUUAUUUUGCUAUUGUAUGUUGACGACAUGUUGGUAGCAGGCCCCAACAAAGAUCGUAUUGAAAAUUUGAAGGCUCAAUUGGCUAGAGAGUUUGAAAUAAAGGACUUGGGACUGACAAACAAGAUUCUAGGGAUGCAAAUUUAUUGAGACAGAAAUAAUAGGAACUAGGAAGAUUUGGAUUAGUCAGAAGAAUUACUUGAAGAAAAUCUUGUGUCGCUUCAAUAUGCAAAAUUGUAAGCCAAUUUCUACACCUCUUUCUAUUAAUUUCAAGUUAUCCUCAAGUAUGAGCCCCAGCAGCGAAGUAGAGAGGAUGGAAAUGUCUCGAGUACAGUAUGCAUCAGCAGUGGGUAGUUUGAUGUUUGCUAUGAUAUGUACAAGACCAGACAUUGCACAAGCAGUGUGAGCGGUUAGUCGAUACAUGGUAAAUCCUGGUAAAGAGCAUUGGAGUACUGUAAAGAGGAUCCUAAGAUAUGUUAAGCGUAUCUCAAAUGCUACAUUAUGUUAUGGAGGAUCAAAUUUUAUUGCCAGAGGCUAUGUUGAUUCAGAUUAUGCAAGUGAUCUUGAUAAAAACAAGUCCACCACAGGAUAUGUGUUUACUUUUGCUAGAGCAGCUCUAAGCUGGGUUUCGAAACUGCAACCUAUCGUGUCUAGUACUAUGACGAAGGUUGAAUAUGUGGCAGCUACACAAGCUAGUAAAGAGACAAUCUGGUUGCAAAUGUUAAUGGACAAGUUCGGACACAAACUAGAGAAGAUUGCUCUAUUUUGUGAUAGUCAGAGCGCUUUGCACUUAGCAAAGAAUCCAGCAUUUCAUCAGAGGACAAAGCAUAUUCGAGUCCAAUAUAUCACUUUGUUCGAGAAAAGGUGGAGGAAGGAAGUAUGUAUAUACAGAAAAUCCAUAUAGUAGACAACCUAGUUGAUAUGUUAACAAAGUCAAUCAAAACGGACAAGUUUAUAUGGUGUCGAUCCUCUAUCGGUCUAGCAAAAACGUAAGUAGCAUGGAAAUGGCAAGUUAGGAAGGAUUGAAGUGGUCAACAAAAGUGACUUUAAGUGGAAGAAAUGUUGAAAAUAAAGCGACCUUUUUUUACCAUGACACUUACUUAACAACCAAGCAAGACGCAUGCAUGCAAAUGGAAAGUUGGCAAUUUUGAUUGCUCCUCUUCAGCCGAAAUACUUGAAGAAAAUUCAGCCAAUUUUUCUUGACCUUUCCAACAACUGAGGCGGUGGAACUUCCAGCUUUGGUCCAGCCAUUUGACAGCCCAUUUACAGUCAUCUUUCUUGAAUUUUUUGAAGCAACUGGGCAGCAAAAAAUUCUCUAUAAAAGGAGGCAAGAGUUGAAGGAAAAAGAGCCGUGGGUAUGGAGAGGGAAAAUUGAGAGAAAACUUUCUUUUAGUAGAGAGAAAAAAAUGGUGAAGUAGAGAGAGAAAAAUUAUUUUUUUCUCCCAGGUAUUUCCUACUUGUUUUUUCCUAAUUACAAUAGAGAUUAUUUGUUGUUAUCUUCUUGUAUUUAGAAAGAGUGUUGUAAUUUUUCUACUAUAGUGAAUCCUCCCAUACUUGCCCGUGGACGUAGCCAAAAUUGAGUGAACCACGUAAAUACUUGUGUUCAUUUUCGCUGCGGUUUCUCAAUUCCAUUAUCGUUGUCAGCCAAAGUCGACCCACGCAUUUUCUCCCCAACAGCAUGAAUCUUUUACUUCUAAGAAAAAAAAGGGAAUAUGUGAGACCAUAAUUAACUGAGACUUGAAAUAAAAAAAGUAUAUAAGGAAAAUCUUUUCAUGUGUAAUGAAAUACGCCUUUCCAAUGUUUUAAGGUAAGACUUGAUGCUUUUAGAACUCCAAAAAUUAGCAAGCUACAUCAUGUAUUCUCAAAUCUUGAACAUGAAUCGUACAUAGAAUGAUGCAGGCUCUAGUGGACAGGUUGGUACCGCUACUCGUAAAACAGCUGCUGCAAGAUUAUUAAGAAUGGGUGCGUAAACAACAGGGUUCGUUUUCAAUGGAACUUCAAAGUAAGUUUUUGUACUUCAUCACAUCAGUUUUCUCAUAGAACUCCUGAUCUGAAGAUGCAAAAGUUUAUCAUGUAAUCUAUAUAUGUGACCUAUUACUUUAUACAAAGUCUGUAGUUAUAGUACCAUUGACUCCUAAAUUAUUCAAGUCUCUUGAAAGAUAAUCUAUUUUCAGGAAGCCGUGCUUCUACAUGAAAACCACAUUUACUUCCUCGGGUUAGAGUUAACAAUGUACUUUCUUAAGGUAAGCACAAAAUUUCCAUACACUAGGGCACGACCCGGUUAUUUUUCUUCACAUUUUUCUUUUCAUCUAGGGUGAGGAGCAGAAGUCCUGGAUUGUCAUUGUCUGAUGUGUGUAAUAGAUUAAAUCAUAUCUUUGAGCACUCUUUCAUGAAAUAAUCUUGUAUUAGUACUGAGUAACAUAUAGCUCUCAUUUGUUCGAAAAUCUCCCUCUUGAUCUGCAAAAUGAAACAAAUUUAUAUAGUCUGGAAUGCUUAUUGGCCUUGAAAUUGUAAUACAUUGCUGUGAUGUACAAAUCAAAUUGUUGUUUUUGAUUUAAGAAUGUUUAUGAAAAACAGGAAAUAACCUAGUGAAUAAAUCUCGUGUUUAC